GCAGGAGCUUACUCGUUUCACAAGCGAAGAGAGCUUUUCUUUCUAAGGUUCCCGAAUCACUGAAAGCAAAAUUGGUUGAGCGUCUCAAAUCAUUUAGCCAAGAGAAGCAACUAUCUGGAACUUAACCGAGCAAGACAUGCAGUUUUGGCGAGAGUGUAAUCUGUUCACAUUCGAUGAAUAUGAUUGUAAAUAUUUUGCGGAUGCAAACUGAGAUAACCCGGUUGGUUGAGUUAGGCAAGUCUUGCUGAGGCGGCGCAGCUGCACAGUUGGUCCAGAGAGAGAACAAUUCAAUCUUUGUACAAAAUUAUUUUUGUCCGUAGCUCAAUCCUCAUUUUUAUAGACUAACCAGUUUUGAAUACGGUCUGUCGAGGAGUUUUGGAUGUAUUGCAACUUUUAAUGUUAUAAAAUCUACAGGCAUCGUUCCAUUUGGUUUU